rnacentral:snRNA from 12 species
AAUUGGUGAAAAGGGCUGAAGGCGAGGAAGGGUGCUGGGUUCUGACUGAUGGCGCGUUUAAGAUAGAAGAUUCAAACUCAAACAGGCAGUCAGGAGGGGUGUUGAUGAUGAUGGUGGAGGAGGACGGCAAGGAGAAGCUGGAGGCUCACUACGACAAGUACAUACGGGACAACGCACCGAAGAAGCAAGAGAAGUCGUU